GAGUUUGAUCCUGGCUCAGGAUGAACGCUGGCGGCGUGCUUAACACAUGCAAGUCGAACGAAGCACUCUAUUUGAUUUUCUUCGGAAAUGAAGAUUUUGUGACUGAGUGGCGGACGGGUGAGUAACGCGUGGGUAACCUGCCUCAUACAGGGGGAUAACAGUUGGAAACGACUGCUAAUACCGCAUAAGCGCACAGGAUCGCAUGAUCCGGUGUGAAAAACUCCGGUGGUAUGGGAUGGACCCGCGUCUGAUUAGCCAGUUGGCAGGGUAACGGCCUACCAAAGCGACGAUCAGUAGCCGACCUGAGAGGGUGACCGGCCACAUUGGGACUGAGACACGGCCCAAACUCCUACGGGAGGCAGCAGUGGGGAAUAUUGCACAAUGGGGGAAACCCUGAUGCAGCGACGCCGCGUGAGCGAAGAAGUAUUUCGGUAUGUAAAGCUCUAUCAGCAGGGAAGAAGAAUGACGGUACCUGACUAAGAAGCACCGGCUAAAUACGUGCCAGCCGCCGCGGUAAUUC
rnacentral:rRNA from 1 species